rnacentral:rRNA from 1 species
UGCCAGCCGCCGCGGUAAGGCGGAGGGGGCUAGCGUUGUUCGGAAUUACUGGGCGUAAAGGGCGCGUAGGCGGAUUAGUAAGUUGGGAGUGAAAUCCCGGGGCUCAACCUCGGAACUGCUCUCAAAACUACUAGUCUUGAGUGAAGUAGGGGAUGAUGGAAUUUCUAGUGUAGAGGUGAAAUUCUUAGAUAUUAGAAGGAACACCGGUGGCGAAGGCGGUCAUCUGGACUUCAACUGACGCUGAGGCGCGAAAUCGUGGGGAGCAAACAGGAUUAGAUA